UCUGCCUGAUGUGUGACUGCUCAGCUCCGUAACUGGCGUGAAUCAUGUUCUGUGUAACACAAGCUGAUUGUGGGCUAAGUGAUUUAUUUAGAGUAGCGAUCUGGGAAUUCCUGCAUGGUCCUCAGCCUGGCUGGGCUGACCAACAACGACGCUCGCUAACAAAUAGAUACUACCAUUCGGUUUAUAAAUGAGUUUAUGUGCCAGCACGUUUAACGUUGCCAAGCUUGAAGAGAUGGAACGCUUGCUGAAGGAAGCCCAAGCAGAAAAGGCCUGGCUCAUUGAAAGCAAAGAGCGAGAGAUGGAAGCCAAGAAACAAGCUCUGCAGGAGGAGAGGAAUCGCAGGGAACAGCU